rnacentral:rRNA from 1 species
UACGUAGGAUCCGAGCGUUGUCCGGAUUUACUGGGUGUAAAGGGUGCGCAGGCGGACUGGUAAGUCAGUGGUGAAAUCUCGUCGCUUAACGACGAAACUGCCUUUGAUACUAUCAGUCUUGAAUCCGGUAGAGAUCUGUGGAAUUCCGAGUGUAGCAGUGAAAUGUGUAGAUAUUCGGAAGAACACCAGUGGCGAAGGCAGCAGAUUGGGCCGGUAUUGACGCUCAGGCACGAAGGCAUGGGGAUCAAACAGG